rnacentral:rRNA from 1 species
CUUGUUGGUGGGGUAAUGGCCUACCAAGGCAACGAUCUAUAGCUGGUCUGAUUGGACGAUCAGCCACACUGGGACUGAGACACGGCCCAGACUCCUACGGGAGGCAGCAGUGGGGAAUAUUGCACAAUGGGCGCAAGCCUGAUGCAGCAAUACCGCGUGUGUGAAGAAGGCCUGCGGGUUGUAAAGCACUUUCAAUAGAGAAGAAAAGCUUUAGGUUAAUAACCUGGAGUCUUGACGUUAACUAUACAAGAAGCACCGGCUAACUCCGUGCCAGCAGCCGCGGUAAUACGGAGGGUGCAAGCGUUAAUCGGAAUUACUGGGCGUAAAGAGUACGUAGGUGGUUUAUUAAGUCAGAUGUGAAAGCCCCGGGCUUAACCUGGGAACUGCAUUUGAAACUGGUCGACUAGAGUAUGGUAGAGGGGGGUAGAAUUCAUAGUGCAGCGGUGAAAUGCGUAGAUAUUAUGAGGAAUACCAGUGGCGAAGGCGGCCCCCUGGACCAAUACUGACACUGAGGUACGAAAGCGUGGGUAGCGAACAGGAUUAGAUACCCUGGUAGUCCACGCCGUAAACGAUGUCAACUAGCCGUUGGGAGCUUGAGCUUUCAGUGGUGCAGCUAACGCAUGAAGUUGACCGCCUGGGGAGUACGGCCGCAAGGCUAAAACUCAAAUGAAUUGACGGGGGCCCGCACAAGCGGUGGAGCAUGUGGUUUAAUUCGAUGCAACGCGAAGAACCUUACCUACCCUUGACAUCAUCAGAACUUGUUAGAGAUAACUCGGUGCCUUCGGGAACUGAAUGACAGGUGCUGCAUGGCUGUCGUCAGCUCGUGUCGUGAGAUGUUGGGUUAAGUCCCGCAACGAGCGCAACCCUUAUCCUUAGUUGCCAGCACAUUAUGGUGGGAACUCUAAGGAGACUGCCGGUGAUAAACCGGAGGAAGGUGGGGAUGACGUCAAGUCAUCGUGGCCCUUAUGGGUAGGGCUACACACGUGCUACAAUGGCCAGUACAGAGGGCAGCAAACUCGCGAGAGUAAGCAAAUCCCAGAAAGCUGGUCGUAGUCCGGAUUGGAGUCUGCAACUCGACUCCAUGAAGUUGGAAUCGCUAGUAAUCGCGAAUCAGAAUGUCGCGGUGAAUACGUUCCCGGGCCUUGUACACACCGCCCGUCACACCAAGGGAGUGGGCUGCAAAAGAAGUGGGUAGUUUAACCUUCGGGAGAACGCUCACCACUUUGUGGUUCAUGACUGGGGUGAAGUCGUAACAAGGUA